rnacentral:rRNA from 1 species
GACGAACGCUGGCGGCGUGCUUAACACAUGCAAGUCGAACGGCAAGGCCCUGCUUUUGUGGGGUGCUCGAGUGGCGAACGCGUGCGUAACACGUGAGUAUCCUGAUCUUGACUUUGGGAUAACUUCAGGUAACUGGGGCUACUCUCGGAUAGGAGCUCCUGCUGCAUGGUGGGGGUUGGAUCUUUUCGGCGGUUGGGGAUGGAUGAGCGGCUUAUCGGCUAGUUGGUGGGGGAGUGGCUGACCAAGGCUUUGACCGGUAGCCGGCCUGGGAGGGUGGCCAGCCACAAUGGGACUGAGAUACGGCCCAGACUCCUACGUGGGGCAGUAGUGGGGAAUAUGGCACAGUGGUCGGACGCCUGAUGCGGCAGCGCUGCGGGCGGGAAGACGGCCUUCGGGGUGUGAACCGCUGUAGCCUGUGACGAAGCGGGAGUGACGGUAAUGGGUAAAGAAGCACCGGCUAACUACGUG